rnacentral:lncRNA from 1 species
GUGCGGCUCUACCCUUCCGCAGGCCGCUGGGCCUGUUCUGUCUGUCGGUUGCAGGUCUGGCGUGUUCUGUUGGUGGUCGCAGGUCCGCCUACCUUGCAGGCGCGUGGGGCAACUCUGCCCCUCCGCGGAAUACUGGGCCUGUUCUGCUGGUGGGUCACAGGUCCGCCUACCUUGCAGGCGCGGGGGGCGGCUUUGCCCCUCAGCAGGCCGCUGGGCCUGUUCUGCCGGUGGUCACAGUUUCGCCUACCUUGCAGGCACUGGAGGAGGGGGCGGCUCUGCCCCUCAGCAGGCCGCUGGGCCUGUUCUGCCGGGGGGUCGGAGCUCCGCCUACCUUGCAGGCAUGGUUGGCAGCUCUGCCCCUCCAUGGGCCACUGGGCCUGUUCUGUCGGUGGUCACAGUUCUGCCUACCUUGCAGGCGCGGGGGGAGGGGGCAGCUCUGCCCCUCAGCAGGCCACUGGGCCUGUUCUGCCGGAGGGUCAGAGGUCUGCCUACAUUGCAGGCGUGGUUGGCAGCUCUGUCCCUCCACGGGCCACUGGGCCUGUUCUGUCGGUGGUCACAGUUCCACCUACAUUGCAGGUGCGGAGGGAAGGGGCGGCUCUGCCCCUCAGCAGGCCGCUGCGCCUGUUCUGCUGGUGGGUCGCAGGCUCACCUACCUUGCAGGCGUGGUUGGCAGCUCUGCCCCUCCACGGGCCACUGGGCCUUUUCUGUCGGGUGGUCACAUUUCCGCCUACCUUGCAGGCAUGGGGGGGGCGGCUCUGCCCCUCAUCAGGCCGCUGGGCCUGUUCUGUGUGUUGUCACAGUUCC